CACCGAUAAAGGCAAACUACACCGAAAGGGUAGGACGCAAAGUCACCGGCCUAAGGCCAUUGGGCCAUGGUAGCGGGACUGCCGAA
rnacentral:ncRNA from 1 species